rnacentral:rRNA from 1 species
CCUACGGGCGUCUGCAGUGGGGAAUAUUGCACAAUGGGGGAAACCCUGAUGCAGCGACGCCGCGUGAGUGAAGAAGUAAUUCGUUAUGUAAAGCUCUAUCAGCAGGGAAGAAAAUGACGGUACCUGAGUAAGAAGCCCCGGCUAACUACGUGCCAGCAGCCGCGGUAAUAAGUAGGUGGCAAGCGUUAACCGGAUUUACUGGGUGUAAAGGGAGCGUAGACGGCAGUGCAAGUCUGGAGUGAAAGGCGGGGGCUCAACCCCCGGACUGCUCUGGAAACUGUACGGCUGGAGUGCAGGAGAGGUAAGUGGAAUUCCUAGUGUAGCGGUGAAAUGCGUAGAUAUUAGGAGGAACACCAGUGGCGAAGGCGGCUUACUGGACUGUAACUGACGUUGAGGCUCGAAAGCGUGGGGAGCAAACAGGAUUAGAUACCCGUGUAGUC